GACGAACGCUGGCGGCGUGCCUAAUACAUGCAAGUAGAACGCACAGUUUAUACCGUAGCUUGCUACACCAUAGACUGUGAGUUGCGAACGGGUGAGUAACGCGUAGGUAACCUGCCUGGUAGCGGGGGAUAACUAUUGGAAACGAUAGCUAAUACCGCAUAAUAUUGAUUAUUGCAUGAUAAUUAAUUGAAAGGUGCAAUUGCACCACUACCAGAUGGACCUGCGUUGUAUUAGCUAGUAGGUGAGGUAACGGCUCACCUAGGCGACGAUACAUAGCCGACCUGAGAGGGUGAUCGGCCACACUGGGACUGAGACACGGCCCAGACUCCUACGGGAGGCAGCAGUAGGGAAUCUUCGGCAAUGGACGAAAGUCUGACCGAGCAACGCCGCGUGAGUGAAGAAGGUUUUCGGAUCGUAAAGCUCUGUUGUAAGAGAAGAACGGGUGUGAGAGUGGAAAGUUCACACUGUGACGGUAUCUUACCAGAAAGGGACGGCUAACUACAUG
rnacentral:rRNA from 1 species